AUUGAACGCUGGCGGCAUGCUUUACACAUGCAAGUCGAACGGCAGCGCGGGCUUCGGCCUGGCGGCGAGUGGCGAACGGGUGAGUAAUGCAUCGGAACGUGCCCAGUAGUGGGGGAUAGCCCGGCGAAAGCCGGAUUAAUACCGCAUACGACCUGAGGGUGAACGCGGGGGACCGAAAGGCCUCGCGCUAUUGGAGCGUCCGAUGUCGGAUUAGCUAGUUGGUGGGGUAAAGGCUUACCAAGGCGACGAUCCGUAGCUGGUCUGAGAGGACGACCAGCCACACUGGGACUGAGACACGGCCCAGACUCCUACGGGAGGCAGCAGUGGGGAAUUUUGGACAAAGGGGGCAACCCUGAUCCAGCCAUGCCGCGUGCGGGAAGAAGGCCUUCGGGUUGUAAACCGCUUUUGUUCGGGAAGAAAUCCUCUGGGCUAAUACCCCGGGGGGAUGACGGUACCGGAAGAAUAAGCACCGGCUAACUACGUG
rnacentral:rRNA from 1 species